AAUCAACGCUGGCGGCGUGCCUCAGACAUGCAAGUCGAACGAUUAAACUUCCCUUCGGGGAAGAUAUAAAGUGGCGCACGGGUGAGUAACACGUAAGUAAUCUACCUUCGAGUGGGGAAUAACAACCGGAAACGGUUGCUAAUACCGCAUAACGCAGCGGCACCUAAUGGUGACAGUUGUUAAAGGAGCAAUUCGCUUGAAGAGGAGAUUGCGGCAGAUGAGCUAGUUGGUAAGGUAAUGGCUUACCAAGGCGUCGAUCUGUAUCCGGUCUAAGAUGACGGUCGGACACACUAACACUGAAUAACGGGUGAGACUCCUACGGGAGGCAGCAGUCGGGAAUUUUGGGCAAUGGUCGAAAGCCUCACCCAGCAACGCCGCGUGAAGGAUGAAGUAUUUCGGUAUGUAAACUUCGAAAGAAUGGGAAGAACUCAAUGACGGUACCAUUUAUAAGCUCCGGCUAACUACGUUCCAGCCGCCGCAGUAAGAC
rnacentral:rRNA from 1 species